GUGAGGAAUAUUGGUCAAUGGACGAGAGUCUGAACCAGCCAAGUCGCGUGAAGGAAGACGGUUCUAUGAAUUGUAAACUUCUUUUGUGCAGGAAUAAAGUGGGUUACGUGUAACCUUUUGUAUGUACUGUACGAAUAAGGAUCGGCUAACUCCGUGCCAGCAGCCGCGGUAAUACGGAGGAUCCGAGCGUUAUCCGGAUUUAUUGGGUUUAAAGGGUGCGUAGGUGGAUUGAUAAGUCAGCGGUGAAAGUUUGCAGCUUAACUGUAAAAUUGCCGUUGAAACUGUAGGUCUUGAGUGCAAAUGAGGUAGGCGGAAUGGGGUGGGUAGCGGUGAAAUGCUUAGAUAUAACACAGAACUCCGAUUGCGAAGGCAGCUUACUGGGAUGCAACUGACACUGAUGCACGAAAGCGUGGGUAUCAAACAGGAUUAGAUACCCCGGUAGUCC
rnacentral:rRNA from 1 species